AUGGUGUUGCAGACCCAGGUCUUCAUUUCUCUGUUGCUCUGGAUCUCUGGUGCCUACGGGGACAUCGUGAUGACCCAGUCUCCAGACUCCCUGGCUGUGUCUCUGGGCGAGAGGGCCACCAUCAACUGCAAGUCCAGCCAGAGUGUUUUAUACAGCUCCAACAAUAAGAACUACUUAGCUUGGUACCAGCAGAAACCAGGACAGCCUCCUAAGCUGCUCAUUUACUGGGCAUCUACCCGGGAAUCCGGGGUCCCUGACCGAUUCAGUGGCAGCGGGUCUGGGACAGAUUUCACUCUCACCAUCAGCAGCCUGCAGGCUGAAGAUGUGGCAGUUUAUUACUGUCAGCAAUAUUAUAGUACUCCU